GACGGCCGGGUGCUACGGCGCCGUGACAAGUGCUCGAUCUGUUCGCGCGGCGCCUCCACAGGGAUGCGGUGCGGAGCCUUGCCACGCCGGCGGCGCACAUAGCCACUCCCUGAACGGUCGGCGGCGCUCGAGCACCUUGCUCUAACUUGGCAACAAAGAAGAGAAGCUGCAAAGAAGCGUGAAGUGGAAAAAGCUGGCACAAAAAGAAGCAAGAAAGAAUAUGCUUAUAACCUCUCUGGCAGGAAGAUAUUUGCCCCAUUGCCAUGUAGCUCUAAAGGUGAAAUUCCCUUAUUGGGCAGUAUUUCAUUAGAAAAGUAACGCCAUUCAAAUAGCCACAUUCGUAUCAAGUCAAUGGGGAUAAUACUACUCAUAAUGCUGCUUUUAAACGGUAGAUGCAGGCUAGAAUUCUUUGCAAACGUGAGAAACAAUGGUGGUAGCGUUUGAGCUACUUCUCAAUCUCAAUAUGUAAGUUUGUUCAUUAUACAUGUCACUGCAACUGCAUUUAUUUUUGAAACCAUGACAUCUUCUUUUUGAUAGAGAAAUUGCAAAGAGAUGUGAUAAAGCUGGCUCAAAGAGUUUGAGGAUGCUGAAUUGGACAUAAUGGAUAAUUCAGACUUUGGCUUUGAGCUUAUAUGUGGCUUACAUUUUAGUGUUUCAGUUACAACUGCGUGCUCACAAUAUGUGAAUGUGAUCAAAGAAGGGGCUUAUCAUGGCAUCAAAUCGCAUCCCUAAGGAAGAAUUGAAGACUUGCAAAAGCACCCUCAUAGCGGUGCAGGUAAUGAGGUCCAGUUACCACUUACCAGUGGACUUAUGCUGCAUGGUUUGUAUCAGGUUUCUAUCUGAGCAUUGAUACUUUUCGGCUGCCCAUAAAUUGUGUGCAGCAUUUUACCUGAUAUAUAUUAAUCCUAUUGUGUUAA